GUGCUCACUUAGGCAGCACAUAUACUAAAAUUGGAAUAAUAACAGGAAGAUGAGCAUGGUACCUGACCAUGGAUGACACAUAAACUAGUCAAGAGUUCCAUAUUUUU
rnacentral:snRNA from 1 species